rnacentral:rRNA from 1 species
AGAGUUUGAUCCAUGGCUCAGGAUGAACGCUGGCGGCGUGCUUAACACAUGCAAGUCGAACGAUGAUCCCAGCUUGCUGGGGGAUUAGUGGCGAACGGGUGAGUAACACGUGAGUAACCUGCCCUUAACUCUGGGAUAAGCCUGGGAAACUGGGUCUAAUACCGGAUAUGACUCCUCAUCGCAUGGUGGGGGGUGGAAAGCUUUAUUGUGGUUUUGGAUGGACUCGCGGCCUAUCAGCUUGUUGGUGAGGUAAUGGCUCACCAAGGCGACGACGGGUAGCCGGCCUGAGAGGGUGACCGGCCACACUGGGACUGAGACACGGCCCAGACUCCUACGGGAGGCAGCAGUGGGGAAUAUUGCACAAUGGGCGAAAGCCUGAUGCAGCGACG